UCCUAAUUUUUUAUAUAAUAAAGAAAUUGUGGAAUUUAGGUUUUGAGAAAAAAAAAUGAUAAUAAUAGGAAUUUAUAUUAUUUGAGGUUAUUUAGAAAUAAUAUUAUGGUUAGGUAUUUAAUUAUAAAUUUAAAAAUUUAAAUUUAAAACCACAUAAGCAAUAUUUAGUUAAGAUAUAAUACAUAAAUAAUUUUUUUUAUGUAUGUGUUGAAAAAAAAAAGAGAGAAAGUAGAAGGAACAAAAAAAAAAGGGGGUGGAAGGUUGUUGUUUCUAAGUCCCACAUUGGUUAGAUGAGGGAAGAGAAGAGGUGCCUUCAUGUAUAAAAAGGAGGGGGUGUGUGCAUUAGGAAGCAUGAGAGGCUAAGAUGCAAUUUAGAGAAAAUUACAACUUUUGGCCCAAAGGUUUGAAUAAUUAAAUUCAAACCUAUAGUUUUUUUUAAUAUAAUUUUGGGACUCACAAUCCCAUUUUUAUAUUAUUUUUCUCUCUUCCUCUCACGUUGCUCGGCGUUUUCUCGCAAGGGGGGAUUAUUUUCUUUUUCUUCAGAUUAUAUUGACAAAGAUAGUGGUGAAAAAGGAGUUGUGAAGGGGAACUUGUUAUUCAAGACACAAGGAGCGAGUCCGGUCGAGAAAGCACCAGAGGUGUAACUAUGGUGUAUGAAACACCAUCUUUUACGUUGCCUCUUGUUUUGAAUUAUACAAUGUAUCUUGUGCCAACUUAGGACAUAUCUUCUUUGUGAAGCAUGUAAACUCUAAUCCUUUUUAUUAAAAGUAUUUAUUUGACUAAGAGGAUUAUGUUUGUCCCUCUUGAUUCAUGACCUAAUUUAAAUAUCAUGCCAUGAGGAUCCUGACUGUCCCUCAUGGUUCUAAUUGCUUUUUAAGAUAUUUUAAGAUCUGUGGUAUAUUGUCUUGGAUGUAUCAUGGUAAGAAAAUUUUCUACCAUAAUAAUGGUUUUAAUAAUUUGCGAAAAAUCGGUUUGUAUUUUUGAGGGUGUUACAUAUAUGUUGACCCAAUGGUACCAGACUUCGCCUCAACUUCGUUAAGGUGGUAGAGGUUGGAGGUUCGAGUCUGGGGAGGUUCCAAAAGACCCUGGAGAGGCAGUGGUGAGGAAUAACCACAGUACCACCUGUGGGAAAGUCGGCUUUGGUCCAGUGAUGGGCCAGAGUCCAGUACCGAGUCGAGGCCCAAGGGGUGGCUCCGUACUGUUACAUAA